rnacentral:rRNA from 1 species
GACGAACGCUGGCGGCGUGCUUAACACAUGCAAGUCGAACGGAAAGGCCCUGCUUUUGUGGGGUGCUCGAGUGGCGAACGGGUGAGUAACACGUGAGUAACCUGCCCUUGACUUUGGGAUAACUUCAGGAAACUGGGGCUAAUACCGGAUAGGAGCUCCUGCUGCAUGGUGGGGGUUGGAAAGUUUCGGCGGUUGGGGAUGGACUCGCGGCUUAUCAGCUUGUUGGUGGGGUAGUGGCUUACCAAGGCUUUGACGGGUAGCCGGCCUGAGAGGGUGACCGGCCACGUUGGGACUGAGAUACGACACAGACUCCUACGGGAGGCAGCAGUGGGGAAUAUUGCACAGUGGGCGGAAGCCUGAUGCAGCAACGCCGCGUGCGGGAUGACGGCCUUCGGGUUGUAAACCGCUUUCGCCUGUGACGAAGCGUGAGUGACGGUAAUGGGUAAAGAAGCACCGGCUAACUACGUG